AAGCUUAAUCAUAAGUCAUACACCAUCAUUUUAACUAUAGAUUAUCUCAAUGAUGCUUUAUUGUGCUUCAUCCUCAGCAGCAUAUGGAUUUACUCUUGUAUACUUUGAAGAAUUGUUUCUGAAAUUAUUUCUCUGAAGUUUGUUCUCAUAGGCUUAAUUGAAAUUAAACCUGUUAGAACUUUUCAAAGUUAAGAAGUAAUCAUCCCAGUGUUCUACAGUGCAGAAAAGUAGCCUCAGAUAAUUUUUCUAGCCAAGGGAGAACAAGCAUGCUUUACAAAUGGAUAAAUUUUAGUUUGGUUUCCUGUGAAGAUCUCAGUACAAUAUAACCUCAAAAAAAGAGGGGAAAAAACUGUUUGAAUUCUCAGUUUGAUCACUCAUGAAGUUACAGGAAAAUUUAUAAGGUGAUUGUAUUCCAUAAAGCACUUGACCAUCAAUUUUUCUCAUGUAAAUAAAGUUGUAUUUGUGUCAAAGUUGCCUUGCACAUAAGGAGGUGUUAGCAUAGGAUAUUGGCUGGGCACCUAAUAUUAGUAAGCCUGCAAUAUACUGAAAACAAUGAAAUGGUUUCAUUAAAGCUUUCAUGUUUACCUCUAGGAUAAAAUGUCACUGUGAUGGAUUACUCUAGGAAAUAAAAGUUAUGUUCAGACUGAUGAAGUCAUGUAACCAACAGAUGGAACCAACAAAUAAUCUGUUUUUCAAUUCAAUUCAGAUAGAAUAAUGUUUAGCAAUUUAUUUUCUUUGGGACUUUUUAUUAUCACAGUAAAAACUCUAAUUAAAAAUUAAGUACAUUUCAAAGAUAAAAGACUUCUGCAAAGUUUGGACAAAAGGAAAAUGAGAUAUGAAAAUGCCACUGCCAUUAGCUGUGGUCUUUGCUGUUUAAAAUAUUAAGAGAUACCUAGAAAGAACUAAUGCUGUGAAGAACUUUUUUCAGAUAUGUGUAUAUAUAUAUAUAUAUAUGCAUAUAUAUAUAUUUUAUAAUGGUUAAAUGCAUCAUAGUCUUUAAAACUGAGUAAGUUUUUAAAUAACUGAGAUGUCUUGAUCUUUCAGAUGUAAAGAACUGACUAGACAUAUGACAAAAACUUUCAACCAGAAAUAUCUUAUUAGCGUCUGAACAUAAAAUUGCAAAUCUGUGUGCAUGUUGUGAGUGCAUGAAUGUCCAUACUUGAAGGCUGCACUUUUAUCAUAGCUGUAGUAAGAAUAUAAAUACAAAUGUAAAAUGCACAUCAUUGCCUUAAAUGGGGUCCAAUACUUUCAGUCUAAAUCCUGUUUGGGUGAGUUUGGUAUUUCUUUGUGUGAAUUGGGCCAUUCUCCUAAAUACUCCUUUUUGCUUGACUUUAUCAUUUGCCACUAGAAUAAUUGUGCUGAAGUCCCCACAAGAGAAGUUUCUGACAGGUACUAGGGUGUUACUCAAUGGAUUUAGCUUUUGAUAUCUACUAUAUGCAUAUCUACAUAUCAUUCAAGUUUCUCAUUUUUUCUCCCUUUGACCAGCAGACUUACACAAACAGUUACUGGUUCAUUCAUCUUGGCCUAUUUUAAACUGAUCUACCUUAGAUACAGUGAAUUUGACCCAGCACAUGCCUCUUUUCUAUGCAUUUAAUGGUAAAGGGAGUCUGGACAACCAACUUGAAUGUAGUUUAUCUGUAUUGGAUAACACUGACCCUAGAUAGUGUUCUUCUAUAAUCUUACAGACUUGGGGAGUAGGGGGGCAAUGGGAGUAUUGGGUUUGGUGUGGAGUUUUUUUUUUUUUGCUGAUAGCAUAAAGAAUAUUAAUAUUUUCAAGGCUAAUAUGAAUACAAAUAGAGAUACUGUUAAACGUUACAGAUAUAAUUCUGGUAACAUGAUAUUAUUCUGAUUUUGUCAAACGUGACACCAGGAAAAGGCCAGAGCCUCAUUCAGCACUUAUGUGUGCAGUGGGCAUAUGUGUGUCUGUUACAAUUUAUGAUUUUAGCGUGAGAAACAAUAGUUUUCUUAAGUAGGCAGAGUGUGGACAAAGCUCCAGGGUGAAGUGCAGACAAACUUCAGAAGCUGCAUAAUGUGGAAAUUUGUGUUGAUUUAUGGAGAUCAGAGUUGAACAGAUGUUAAAGUCAGCUGAUGUUAAAGUUUAAAUGUAGCCUAAGUGUGAAAUUGGUACCAUGCGUUAUAUCAAUAACAAGCAGCAAAAGCAUUGGGUACAGUAUAAUUUUGUAGCUGUAAAAUUAUGAACAAGUUAUGUUUAUUUAGCAAAUUUUCUGGAAAAAAAAGUCUUCGGAAAAACUGUAAGUAUGGCAAUUGCAAUUUGACCCUCUGACUGGUGUGAAAUUUCUUAUAUUCCUGAUUCAUGUAAAGGGGCUAUCCUUUGUUAGGACAUGGGGAGGUAAUGUGAGAGAAGAGGGGGAAAGUGACAACAAAUAGCAAAAAAACAUAAGGGAAAGCAGUACUUACAUCACCUUUGCAAGCAGCGGAGGUUAUGACAAAUCAUUUUCCCAUAUCAAGAUGUCUUACAAUAACUGAGAUCAUUACAACUGUGCUGUCAUCCCAGAGUUAAGUUAAUUGAACCAUAUGUACAGUUCAGCAGACACAAGCUAUAAGGAAAUUAUGAUUCAGUAAUAAUUCUGUUAAAGUGCAAAAUAUGACCAAAAUAUUCAAAAGAUUGUAGAAGGAGAUAUGGGGAUGAAAUUCUGAUAAAGUGGGAAAUAAGAGCAGCAAAAUGACUGCUGUGGUUUUUUUGGUUCUGCAAAUAGAUUGAACACAGAAAAAUGUGGUGUCACAUCCUAAUCAUAUUGCAAUGAAUAAGGUGGGAAGGUGGAAGUUUGCCCUAAUGUAAGGAGGCUGACACAGAAGCAGAGACUUGAGGUUUUGUAUGCAUCCCACCAAUGAAUAUAUUUAACAGCUGAUGUCGUGGAUGUAGAAGAUUGUCUGUUUUAUUUCUCCUUUCCACUUUGUGUUAUUCUGGGGAGGUUUCAAAGGGAGGCUCCCCGAAGUGCUGUUUGAACAAGGGUGGAAAGCUCAACAGAGAAGAUUCUUGGAGCAUAUGGAAUUUUAUGUGAGUCGCUAUCAUCACUCUGGCAAGAGCCUAACUGCAAAGUCCUCUGCCUUCUGGAAAAUGCUUUGUUAAUUAGUCAAAAAGAAAGUGGACUUUACUACAGUGUGGAAGACUCUUCAUCCAUUUUCUUUAUAAUACAGCAAAGGAGUGCUAGAACAACAUGUGCCAUGCUGUGGUUAAUUUGGACUACACCCACCAAAAAGGCUCUUCCUCAUCUCAGUGAAAUUGGGGCAGGUCAAGCUGCCAGCCACAUCUUGUGUAUUGACUGGGAAAAAAAACCUUCUGACCCCUCCUUCACCAAGCCUAUUUAAAUGUCACCUUUUGUAUAUCCAAAUAGUUCACUGUACUGUUUUGUAUUUGAUUAAAUUGUACCGUUACAAAAUCACCA